GGUUUGAGUGUUAUCUGAACAGGACGUGAGCAAGCCGCACGACAAACAUCGCAUCAAACCGCUCAACUAGACAUUACAUUAUACUAUGUGACUUACUAAAUAUAACUCCAUAUUGCAUUCAGACAUAUUUAAAACCUAUCUGUCGGUUUGAGUGUUAGACAUAUCUAUUAGUCAAUUAACUUCAUCAAAUACGGAAUAAUAUAAUUAGAUAAUAUAAAGAACUAUCGCUAAUUUCCACACCGUUUAUAUUUUACCUGGAUUAAAUAUGAUGUCCCCUGCUUGUAUAACUAUUGGAGAGGGGACGUGGCGCUCUUACCGUCUGCCUAUCAAACCGUUGAUAAUGAUGAUGAUAACGAUGAUGAUGAUAGUGAUAUCUCGUUGCAGCACUAUUACACUGUCACCUGCUGGCGGCCUCACUUUUGAAGAAGGUGAAGAGAUAAGGAUUACAUGUGAAAAUAUGUAUACACAUACUUAUAAGUCUUUUUUCUUUACACUCUUGGAAAAUGGCAAUCCUGUUGUGUAUAUCUACUACCGUAGCCGGUGGGAUGAGCCUCUCGUCGUGAACAGCACAAGAGAUUUCGAAUGUCACACUUCUUCCAACUAUGUGUUUGUGUGCACAACAAAGAAACCCAUUUGCAGUAAUGCAACAUCAUACAGAUGUUCAUUAGACAGUGAUAUUUCCGAUGAAAAGAUUCUUAGAGUAAAGUCUCGUCAAGUGGAUGUGGUCUAUGCUGAGGACGCCCCUAAACCCGAGAUACACAAUACAUUUACUAUUGAGAACUUCGGCCCCACCACGAAAAACCCUGGAUAUUUAUGUCGAACAGCUACUGAAUUAGUUCCUGGAAGUAGAAUCACCUUUCGAUGGAGAGUUGUAUCACUCGUUAAGUCAUUUAAUGAAGCCAUAAAAAAAAGGUGUUACAUACGAAAUACGAGGUAGUGACUGUUCCUACUUCUGGCAAAUGUCAUGCUAAGAUAUCUUCAUUCUACAUGUGCCGUCAUUUACAAGAUGUCGACUUCUUUUCGUACAUUGAAUGUUCAGUACUUGGACAGACACGGACCAAUUCAAACUACAUGGGAAGAAACAUCCUUGCAGCACUGGUGCUUGUGUAGCAAACUCUAGAUGGGUUUUGGUCGUCAAGCUCAUUCUUCUGCCUCUGGUUGUUGCAAUUUCUCGCUAGCAUCAUCCCGUCUUACUUAAAAAUUAUAAUGAAUGUUUAUAAAGAUUCCUGUUUACGUUGACCAAAUCCGAGUCGAAUUGCGUAUUAAGUGAUGCUGACAACAUCCAAGGACCAUUUCCCGUUCCAGAUUAUACAAGAUCUAUAAUAAUUUUUACUACUAAUCUUAAUUGUAAUAUUAUGAGUCACCAAUUGUAGAAAUACUAACUGUAGUAACACAAACAACUGAUAAUAUUAAC